AAUAAAACACACAGAAGAGGAAAAUAAAUAUAUUGUUGCUUGUAGUUAGUGUGGACCUGAUUGUUAGCUUGCUUUCUUGCUGGCAGGGCCUGAUAUUUUCUAAGAGGAACAAUGUUUCUGUAUUGGAAGUCAUUGUGUGAUGUAAAGUGUUAAAAGAACGGUAUUUGUAUUAUUGGUAUAAAAAUGGAUAAAAGUGAACAGUCUGAGCAUUGUUAAAAUACAGACUAUCAAACAACAUUACAGCUACUGUACAAAGCCAGGAGGGACUAAAAUAUGUUUCUUUUGCUUCGGCAGAUAAGCUUUUGUGCCCUUUCUCACCAGACAUGGUGAAAAGCAGGGAGGGGUUUUGAAGGGAGUGGCACGUUUCUGCUGAUGUAACAUACAGUUGCAACACCCUGAAACACAUGUAAACUGUCCUUGGAGGACAGGAUUAGGAACACGCCAUCCGUCAGACAGCUGAUUCCCAUGGGAGGAAAGCGAGGCACACAGGCUGGAAGAGAGCAACAAUACACUGGAAGAGGUUCUCCUGUGAGGCAAACCAGGAUGAUGGUGGCAUGGCUGCAUGCAUCUGUCCUGCAAGCUAGACACAACCUCAGAGCACCAAAUUAUCUGCUGAUGCUUAACAGUGAUGUUCUAUCGAUAAUGGAAACAUUCCACUGAUGUCUGGAGCUGGGAAGCAGUGAAAGGCUCAUUAUUUCUUAUGAAGUCAGACAAUAGCUUCAAACUGCUGAUUCGGGGAUGUCCACCUCAGAACACCAUUUUAUUUUCAGUAACUACUAAUACCAGCUGGAAGUAAAGGAUUUGCAACAAUAUCUAGGAAAUCACCAGCAAUCCUAUAAAAGCCUCCAAUUCUGUUUAUAUAUCUACACAGCUACAAAGUGUCGGUUUAGAAUUUUGUUAUAUUUGUAUAAAAGCAGGAGGAUAUCAGUGGUUCAAGACUGCACCCAGUCAUGGGUAGGGGGGAAUCACUCUGGAAAUCAUUCUUUUUAAAACAGGUGAACAUGGUUUUGCUUUAAUAACCACAACAAACUCAGAAGAGCAAUCAGAAACACUUAAGAUCAUGUUACAUACUUUCCACAGUGUGCACCCCAGUUCAGUGUGAGCAACAUGCUUACAAACACCCCCAUAUACCUGUGCAUAUAUGAAACCGCC
rnacentral:lncRNA from 1 species